rnacentral:rRNA from 1 species
GAUGAACGCUAGCGGCAGGCCUAAUACAUGCAAGUCGAACGAGAUUAAGGAGCUUGCUCCUUAUGAAAGUGGCGCACGGGUGCGUAACGCGUAUGCAACCUACCUUAAUCAGGGGGAUAGCCCGAAGAAAUUCGGAUUAACACCGCAUAAAAACACAGGAUAGCAUUAUCCAAUGUUCAAAUAUUUAUAGGAUUAAGAUGGGCAUGUGUGUCAUUAGCUAGUUGGCGGGGUAACGGCCCACCAAGGCGACGAUGACUAGGGGAUCUGAGAGGAUGACCCCCCACACUGGUACUAAGACACGGACCAGACUCCUACGGGAGGCAGCAGUAAGGAAUAUUGGUCAAUGGAGGCAACUCUGACCCAGCCAUGCCGCGUGCAGGAAGACUGCCCUAUGGGUUGUAAACUGCUUUUAUCCGGGAAUAAACCUAAUUACGUGUAAUUAGCUGAAUGUACCGGAAGAAUAAGGAUCGGCUAACUCCGUGCCAGCCGCCGCGGUAAAAC